CGGAUUCUGAUUUGGAGGAAGGCUAUAAGCGCAAAACUGGAAGUAAGGAGAAGAAAAGACACAGAAAAUCAGACAGGCGCGACACUUCUUCGGACUCUGAAGACAGCUAUGAUACUGAAUUGGAGAGGAAAGAGACCAGAAGGAGGAAGAAGGAGGAGAGGAGGUUGCGGAAGGAAAAGAAACGCCAAAAACGUGAAGAGCGACGGCGCAAAAAGGAAGAGCGGCGUGCAGAGAAGACAAAAGCUAAGAACCUCAGUGAUGAUUACUCGGAUGAUGAUCGAGUUGCAAAGGAAGAAUCUUAUCCCAGCGAUGCUGCAGAUGAGGCUGAGCACAGAAGGCUAGAGAUCGAGUUAAGGAAGAAGGCAUUGGAAUCAUUCAAUGCGAG
rnacentral:misc_RNA from 1 species